rnacentral:rRNA from 1 species
UACGUAGGGUGCGAGCGUUAAUCGGAAUUACUGGGCGUAAAGCGUGCGCAGGCGGUUUUGUAAGCCAGAUGUGAAAGCCCCGGGCUUAACCUGGGAAUGGCAUUUGGGACUGCAAGGCUGGAGUGUGGCAGAGGAGACUGGAAUUCCUGGUGUAGCAGUGAAAUGCGUAGAUAUCAGGAGGAACACCGGUGGCGAAGGCGGCGUCCUGGACCAACACUGACACUGAUGAGCGAAAGCCAGGGGAGCAAACGGG